rnacentral:rRNA from 1 species
UACGUAGGGUGCGAGCGUUAAUCGGAAUUACUGGGCGUAAGCGUGCGCAGGCGGUGAUGUAAGACAGAUGUGAAAUCCCCGGGCUCAACCUGGGAACUGCAUUUGUGACUGCAUCGCUGGAGUACGGCAGAGGGGGAUGGAAUUCCGCGUGUAGCAGUGAAAUGCGUAGAUAUGCGGAGGAACACCGAUGGCGAAGGCAAUCCCCUGGGCCUGUACUGACGCUCAUGCACGAAAGCGUGGGAGC